CGCCGGGCCCCCCGCGCCGCCUCCGCCGCCCGCCGCCGGGUUGGCGGCGCCGCACUGGUUGUAGGGCUCCCCACAUCCCGAGGACACCGCUGAUAAACCCAGGAUAAUCAGCCCGGAGGAACAGGGCCACUGCUGGCACCAUGGCUGCUCCCCCAGCACUGCAGGCAUUGUCCUGCUUGGACAAGCAGCUUCUCUGCGACCGAUCCCACCGCCUGGUCCCUCGUGUCUUGGUGUGCGACUGCUGUGACACCACGGCAAUCCUGAUCCCGCAGGGUCAGAGCUGCCUUUCCAUGCCAGGCAGAGGCCAAAAGCACGAUGGCUGGCACCUUCCUGGCCAGGAAGGGUCCUUAUUUUGCAUCUGGGGUUCAAGAGGCAGCUCACUGCAUCCUAGAGUGCCCUGGAAGGCCUCUAGGGCAUCCUAGAGGAAAUUGGAGGUCACUGGGAGGCUUUCCGGGGGAGCUAGAGGGCACUUGGUGGCCCUGAUAGACCUGUGGGGGACCUAGAGGGCAGCGGAGGACCACAGGAGGCCUCCAGUGUGCUUCGGGGUGCACUAGAGAGCCCUGCGAGGCCUUCAGAAGCCACUAUAUUCCAGAAAGAGUCUUAUUUUGCCUCUAGGGUGCAAGAGAUGUCUCGUAUGGCACCCUGAACUGCUCUAGGCCUGCUGCUGACCCACUAAGGGGCAACAGCAGGCUCAUAGGACACUGUAGAAUGCCCUGGAAGGCAUCCUAGAGGAAAAAGGGGUCACUGUGAGGCUGGAUGCCCUGUGAGCCCCCUCUUGCACCCUAGAGGCAUAAUAAGCACUCUUACGGGAAUCUAGAGGCCCCCAGAAGCCUCGCAGGACUCUAGGGCACUCUCAGGCACAUCGGAGGCCUCCUGUGGUCCUCCCCUGCACUCUAGAUGCGGUGUAGUUCUACCUGGGUCACUCAGUGCCCUCUAGCUCCCAAGUAAAACUUCUCAGUGACCUCCAGUUUCCUCUAGGUUGCCCUAGAGGUCUCCCAGGCCACUGUAGGAUGCCCUAGGAGCAACUUCUUGAAUCCAAGAGGCAAAAUAAAGACUCUGCCUAAGAUCUAGAAGCCUCUAGGGUGUCCUACAAGCCCGCUGUUGAACACUCGAGGCAAAGUACACAUCCAGGUAUCUAGUGGUCUAACACCAAUUAUGACACAUACGUUACCAGUUUCUCCCAUCAAAAAGUGCUCCCAACAGAAGCUUUUGGGUACACCUGAACUCUCUUUGAGAUCCUUUAUGCAACCCCACACACAACACGUCUCUGCACCUUCUCUCUUUCCGCACAACCCUAACCAGAACGCUGAGCCCAACCCUAAUUAGGACCCUAAAAAACAUGCAUGGCACCACUUUCUCCCAUCAAAAAGUUCUCCCAACGGAAGCCUUUGGGUAGACUUGUGCUCCCUUUGGGAGCCUUUAUGCAACCCUUCAGUGCCUCGAGGUGUGUGUGCAUGUCAGAGCAAAUGCAUGGUCCUUGAUUCAACAUGCUUGGGAAGGCAGUGUGCUGUCUUCCCCUUCUGUUUUGCGUGCCUUUGCCAUACCAUUUUUGUUACUGCACAAAGACAUGCUCAUUGCAUUGCUUCAAAGCUUUGAGACCCUUGUAUAGCUGAGGGACCUCCCAGAUUAAUCUCUGUGGCCAGUGCCACGGCACAUCACUGCGGUAUUGUUACAUCACUAGUUGGGACUGAGAGCUUCCGACCUGGUUCUGUAUCACAUUAUCGAAUACCUAUUUCUGCUGCAUAACCUACCAGCGGGCUUGUGCUGCAUUUUUUUUAAAGCUGUGUUACACUAAAUGGGGAAUCUCCCCUAACCACAGCUAUGCUGGGGUUCAGAGCUGGGUGUCAUAAUUGUCCCUUCUGGCAUCUAAUCUGUGCAUGCAGGAAUGCGUAGGAAACUUUAGAGGGACGUUGCUUUUUCUUGUGAAAUAUUUCUAGUAUUACUGAUAACUGAGCAUUGCAUACAGACUCUUUCAAAAACACCGCGUCGGUUUUGAUUUCACACCAUUUGCUCAGCACGUCACAGACUCACACCCCCUUGAUGGCCGAGCUGCUUCCAUGCAGUUCAGUGUUGCCUUUUUUUUUUUUUUUUUUUUAUUCACAAAUACAACGUCUGGAUGCCUGGAUGGUGCCUGCGCGAAGCCUGCUGGUUCCCGUUCCAUCCUGUUUGGGUUUCCUCUGCCUUGUACAGGCCAUAAACAUUAGAGGGAGCUGCAGACUGCUGCAUGUCCCCGUGCGCAGCUGGAAGGUUGGACACUUCAUGGUUGCAUGGAGCCUCAUCCAGGGCAGGUGGCACCAGCUGGUCCCCUGCCCACCAUGCUGGCCAUGCCGCAGCUAAUUAGAGCUUAUGUGUUUGGCACGUGAUUAAAUGAAUGAAAAAUGAUUCAUUUUGUGGUGGUAGCUUGAGGCUCAAAUCCAGGCCAAUGGAAAGAAAGCUAUGACAGAAAUAAGAAGGGAUCAUGUGGACAGCACAAAAGUGUGCUCAGGAUGCUGUCACCUGGGCAGGGGUGCAGGAAGGCACCACGGGAUGGGGCGAGGUGUUCGCUAGUCACCAAAGCAGCAGCAAUCAGCAGCAUUAUUAGACAAAGAAAUACAGUCAAAAAUAGUGCCAUCUGGGAGAAUUUAACUUCCCAGAAAUAAAGCUGAGAAUGAACGCUCCUAAAAAUGGCAAAGCACCGUUAUUUCUGGAUCUGAUAGCCAACAGAUUUCUUCACAAAUCAGGCACUCAGCAAAAGGCGGUACUAUUUUAGACUGGGUUUUUAGGAAGUAAUUGUAAUGCAACAAAAAGGCUAACCACGGUAGUGAUUCUUGGUGGAGGAAUCAGUGAAACUCAGCUGAUGCUGGAGGAAGGCUGGCCAAAUAGAGACCUGGAAAUAGGGGUCUGUCGCACAAGGGCCAGCUACAAGCAGCUGAAAGCCCAUGGUAGUGGAAUCGGUGGGGCUGGAGCACUUGGCGGUCAGGGACAGAGAACACCCAUUGAGUCUGUACAUUGUAGAGGCAAAAAAAACACUUAUAUUUGCAAUAAGCAUUCCAAGCAAAAGACUGGCAUAGCCAGAGAGGGCUGGCCAAACAGCUCGGUCAGACUGUGACAGGCUUUCAGGAGCACUGGAGAGGAGACCACGCGGCAAGACAAACCGCAGCGUGGGUGUUAGCAAGAGCAGGGCUAAAAUGAGACUUGCUAAACCCCAUGCUUGAGCAAUGAGCGCUUAUUUAAGCCUCUGGCCAGGUGAGCAGAUGCGUCACCAGCCUGGUGGUGUGCUCUGGCCAUGGCAGCAGUGGCUCUCCCACAUUCAGGGAGCUUAGGCUGCUCUGCACUGUCCCACCGAGGGCUACAUGAUCCAUCCAGUGCACUGGGUGCUGUCGGGGAGAACCUGCAUGCCCACGGCACAGCUACAAACCAGCCACUAAAAUGGUACAUUCUACCACAAAAAAAAAAAAAAAAAAAAAAAAAAAAAAAAAAAAAUCUCUAAUUGGUUUGUUUUGUUUGCCUGGACAGGUGCCGUAAUCCACUGCAAAACACACAGGAGUUCUUUCCUUCCCUGCCUGCCCUGUAAACCAUUUUAAAAGCAGAAAAAGGAAAAUUAUUUUUUUUUUGUCCAGUGCAAAUCCUUCAUUCCUCCCUCUCUGCACACUCAGGGUGGUUCUGGGGCUGGUGACCACCAAGGAGCCCAUGUUCCUUACAAAAGACUUUGUCCAAGCAGGACAAGGUGUGGGUUGUCCACCGACACCAGCACAGCCAUGCUUCGUCCCCCAAAAAACACUGACACCACUUGCAGUGUGGUGAGCCGACAAAACACCAACACCACUUCCAGCGACACGAGCUACUGCACCCCACAAGGCCACAGGCCCUGCCGUGUCACCUGGGUGCCACCAAGACAGCCAACGCUAUCGCCUUUCCCCCCGUGAGAUGUUUGUCACCGCGAAGCAUCGCGGCCACGUUAACAGCUCCCUCCUCUCAGCGUGAGCAACUAUUUUGGGCCGAUGCUGCAGCACCCAAGCAGCGCAGGUUAUUUCAGCUCAGGGCAUGGCUAUUUUCAGCACUGCCCUUCCCUGCGUGUGCUUUGCCCCAGCGUCCAACCGCAGGGUGCUUUUUGGGGGCGGUGGAGAGGAACGGGGACGUCAUGGGGGGGAACGGUUUGCCAAGGUUAAUGCCCAAAGCAGAAACCUUUGCCCCCAUCCACCUGGAUCCACCCAGCCUCUUAGGGGAGAAACCAUGAAAAAAGGGAGUGUUUCUGGAGCAGAAAGCUGACAGUCCGAUGCCAGGAGAGACAACACAAGAGGGGAAGGAGAGUGAUGGGGCUGGGAGAAGCAUGAACAAGGUGGGAAGAGGAGGGCAGAGGGCUGGAUGCUGCAGAAACACCCAGGGUCACAGUGCAAUGGCUCCAGAAAAACAGCUCAGCGGGAUGAAUGGGGCACCCCCUGCUCAUCCCCAUCCUCUGGGGCCUUCAGCUCUGGUGCCACCCAAGCACCCCAGGAGAGGACACACAGCCCAGCCGUGCUGGACAGACCCCCAUAGCACAGGAAGCAGGUGAACCAUUUGUCAAGCAGCAAGCAUGGAUUCCUCCAGAGACAGCAGCAUCACUGAGGUUGUCCCCACAAGCCCCAGGGAGGACACCACCAGAGGGUGACACCAACCAGGCACUUUCUUCUGGCCGGUUUCCCCCUCCCACCACCCCACAGAGGAAGGCAGGCCUGUCUGGGAACACAGCGAUCACAAAACAGAGCUGGGAGAAGUGACCCAGCUCUCCGGUAGGUCUCAAUGCAUUUUUAUUAAAUUCUUACAAAACAGAAUACAAAAUUCUGGCAUCAACAAUUGUUAUAAAGGAAAACUUCAAUUCAGCUGUAUCAGUUCACCUGGUACAUACAGUAAAGUGCUUGUUUUUUGUUUUUUAUCCUUUUUAAUUUUUUUUGUUUGUUUUCAUUUUUAUUUUCCAGCCAGCCCCCGAGCAGAGGCUGCCUGUGUACAAACCAACAGUGCGUUAACGUGACUCUUGUCGAACCAGCUUUGGCAGUCUUCAUCAAUUGUAAAGUGGAGAAAGUUUCUCCUAUUCCGAUAAAAAAAAAAA